GGUCCGCUUCCCGCAGUCGGACCCACGUGGCCACGUCCCUGCCACCACGCUUGGAUCUGGCCUGGUGCCGGACCCUGGGGGGGUUCUGCAAAGCCCGGUCCUGUGCCUGCUACGCUGGAGAGAGCUCUUGGGGCGGGAGGCGCGUGUCAGGAUGCACCUGCAGGGCUGGAGGUAACCGAAGCCUGCCUCAGCUACAGUUGCCAGCUGCCUUGCUACUUUGUUUCCUCCUCGCAACCCCACUGUUUCCCCUUCUUCUUGAGGAAUCGGGGGAAGGCCUCGUUGACUGCUCUGGAGAGCCGGCGUCGUGCGCCAGGUGCUGCGGCUGCAGCUCGCCGUCCGGAGUGGCUGUGGCCGCCCCGUUGGCCUUCGUCCACGGCCGGACCCCCGCGUGAGUCGGAGACCGGCUCCGCUGGUCCUGGGAACGAGCCUUUUGAACGGUGGAUCCUCCGAGGCGCCUUGCAAGAUGGAUUUCCCGGGAACUUGGCAUCUUGGCGCGAUCAGACUUCAGCCUCCAGGUGGAAAGGCAGAUGCCCUCGAGGGGUCGAUCUGGUCCUGAGAAAGACAGCGAGCGCGUCUGCAGCGUGUGUGUGUGUGUGUGUGUGUGUGUGUGUGUGUGGGGGGACACCAAGGCAUUUUGGAGCGCGGAGAAAGGCUUCUGGGGAGAAGCUGGCACUUGUGAGCAACUGCCCAGAGCCCGCUUCCCACUGUCUGGAAACUGCCCAGACUUUGAGGGGCAAUCGGAAUGCAGCUCCGGCGGUCACCGCUCUCCUGGGUGUGUGCGCUUCCUUCCCCCAAGGGACGCGGACCCCAGUCAUGCCUCCUUUUCGGAAUCCUGGGGACACGGUGGGCAGCGUGAUGGACUGCGCGCCAGAUUCCAGAAAUCGGAGACGUGGGGCUGCUGCUAACCCCAGAAUUCGGGAGGCAGAUGGGAGAGCUGACUGGCAAAGGCCCUUUGGUGAAUGUCAUCUUGAUUGCAGUGUGGCGAGAGACAAGGAGCUAGUAUUCCUGGGGUUUUGUGUCUGUGAGGUCUCGGUGCCCAACAAGUAG
rnacentral:lncRNA from 1 species